rnacentral:rRNA from 1 species
AACGCGAAGAACCUUACCUGGGCUCGAACGGCUUAAGACAGGGGUGGAAACACCCUCUCCCCUUAAAAGGCUUGAGUCGAGGUGCUGCAUGGCUGUCGUCAGCUCGUGUCGUGAGAUGUUGGGUUAAGUCCCGCAACGAGCGCAACCCUUGUCCUGUGUUGCCAUCAUUCAGUUGGGCACUCGCAGGAGACCGCCAGCGAUAAGCUGGAGGAAGGUGGGGAUGACGUCAAGUCCUCAUGGCCUUUAUGUCCAGGGCUACACACGUGCUACAAUGGCCGGUACAAAGCGCCGCAAACCCGCGAGGGGGAGCCAAUCGCAAAAAACCGGUCUCAGUUCGGAUUGCAGGCUGCAACCCGCCUGCAUGAAGCUGGAAUCGCUAGUAAUGGCAGAUCAGCACGCUGCCGUGAAUACGUUCCCGGGCCUUGUACACACCGAUACUC